CGCGUAGUUAGCCGGAGCUUAUUCCUCAGGUACCGUCAAAUUCCUCUUUCUUCCCUGAUAAAAGAACUUUACAUUACGAAUAACUUCUUCGUUCACGCGGCGUUGCUCGGUCAGGGUUCCCCCCAUUGCCGAAAAUUCCCUACUGCUGCCUCCCGUAGGAGUAUGGACCGUUCUCAGUUCCAUUGUGGCCGUUCAACCUCUCAGUCCGGCUACGCAUCAUCGCCUUGGUAGGCCCUUACCCCACCAACUAGCUAAUGCGCCACAGGCCCCUCCUUAAGCAGAUCUCUCUUUUAAAUAUAAAAAGAUUCUUCCUCUAUAUCCUAAUCCAGUUUUAUCCAUCGUUUCCAAUGGCUAUCCUCGUCUUAAGGGUAGGUUACCUAUGUAUUACUCACCCGUUCGCCACUAAAAGUACCCGAAGGUACUUCCGUUCGACUUGCAUGUAUUAGGCACGCCGCCAGCGUAAUCCUGAGCCAGGAUCAAAACUACU
rnacentral:rRNA from 1 species